UAGGGAAUUUUGGACAAUGGGCGCAAGCCUGAUCCAGCCAUGCCGCGUGGAUGAUGAAGGCCUUAGGGUUGUAAAAUCCUUUCGCCGAGGACGAUAAUGACGGUACUCGGAGAAGAAGCUCCGGCUAACUUCGUGCCAGCAGCCGCGGUAAUACGAAGGGGGCUAGCGUUGUUCGGAUUUACUGGGCGUAAAGCGCGUGUAGGCGGGUCGUUAAGUUGGGGGUGAAAUCCCGAGGCUCAACCUCGGAACUGCCUUCAAAACUGGCGACCUGGACCUAAGUAGAGGCAAGUGGAAUUGCGAGUGUAGAGGUGAAAUUCGUAGAUAUUCGCAGGAACACCAGUGGCGAAGGCGACUUGCUGGACUUAUGGUGACGCUGAGACGCGAAAGCGUGGGGAGCAAACAGGAUUAGAUACCCCAGUAGUCCCUGAGCGGGCUGGCAAGGCGCAU
rnacentral:rRNA from 1 species